GGGGUCUUAGCUCAGCUGGUAGAGCGCCUCAAUGGCAUUGAGGAGGUCAGGGGUUCGAGUCCCCUAGGCUCCA
rnacentral:tRNA from 1 species